AUGCACAACCAGUGCUCUGAUAGGAUGCUGCAGUCGCUGGAAGAACACGUAACGUGCGGACAGACAGACACACACACACACACACACACACACACACACACCACCCGCCUUCUCCUGAUCAUUCCCGUGAGAACACACACACACACACACACCCCCCCCCCUCCACACACCACCCGNNNNNNNNNNNNNNNNNNNNNNNNNNNNNNNNNNNNNNNNNNNNNNNNNNNNNNNNNNNNNNNNNNNNNNNNNNNNNNNNNNNNNNNNNNNNNNNNNNNNUCAGACAUGACUGAGCUUCUGAGUGCUCGCACGUGCGCGCGCGCACGCACACACACACACACACACACACACCGCCCGCCUUCUCCUGAUCAUUCCUGUGAGAACACACACACACACCACACAUUCUCAUCAUCAUUCUCAUGAGAACACACACACACACACACACACACACACACACACACACACACACCACCCGCCUUCUUCUGAUCUUUCCUCUGAGAAUACACACACCACCCACAUCCUCAUCAUUCCCGUGAGAACACACACACACCACCACACCUCCUCCUGAUCUUUCCUGUGAGAAGCCUAAAGGGUUGUUUCCAGAAACAGCAGGGGCAGACCAAGCUUACCACCUGUGAGAAAGGGAAACCGCGGCAUGGGUGAGAGGAGGGUUCAGACGUGGAUGACCUAAGGACCCGCAGGCCUCAUCCUCUCAGCUGAACGAUGGUGGACAGCGUCAAACCGGGGAGAAGCCCGGCCUCACUCUCUCCCGGUCCUAGACCCCCGUAGCUCAGCAUCAGGCCGCCCUGAGCCAGGACCGACCAGUGUUAGACAUGCUCCCCGACGUGCUAAGUGAGACAGCUGAAUCUGAGCCUGACACCACCAGACACCACCGUUAGGGAAAGACUGCUGCCCACACUCUCAACCAUGUCGCAGUUAUGGGACAAGGGGCGGCAUUACAGCAAAGGCCAUGAGGGUUGUCCCUGGGCGUGCGAGGGUGGGGCGGUGGGUUCACACGGGGUCUCAGGGGGCCUGAGAGCCUCCAUGGAGGUCUGCCUGGGGCCAGCACGAGAGGAGUCAGGCUCUGGGCUCCCUCCCACCCACCCGGACUUUGACUGGAGCAACCACUUUGAUCAGGUUGACGUUUGGGGUGUGAUAGAAGCUGUUGUUUAAAAAGAAAAACAAGAUUUUGGCUUUAAAGCUUAAAAACCUGUGAUCUAGAGCAAAGGGCAGCCUGGAGCCCAGAUCUGGCCCAUCUCCUAUUUUUAGAAAUAAAAUUAAAUCAGAACUCAGUCCUGCGGGUGCAUCCAUCACCCAUGAAUGCUCUGUGGUCCAAGAGCUGAGCGGGCUUGCUGAGACAGAAACUGUAUGACCCACAAAGCCUCGAAGAUGUGCCCUCUGGCCUCUUACAGAAAAAGGUUGCCAAACCCUGGUUUACAGGAAAGACGUCUGGAGUUGGACGAGCCCAGAUAUCUGCGCGUCCAUGUGUGAGUCACGAUGUGAAGGAAGGACCAGCCCCCUUCACCACCCAGCAUCACCAUCAAGGUUUCAUUCCCUCAGCCACCAACUGCGGUGCAAACCCAUCUGCAUGCAGGGGUUUACAGUAGGCAAGCAGGUCCCGCGCCCUUCUCCCCACCUCCCCCUCCUCAAGGUGAUUCACUGUGUGGAAAGGAUUCAGAGCUUCACGGCUUCUGCAGCCUGGCACCCAAGCUUGUGUUUCUUAUUAAAGCAGAUUCCAAAAACAGGUUAGGCUACCCCACUCCAGUAUUCUUGGGCUUCCCUGGUGGCUCAGCUGGUAAAGAAUCCGCCUGCAAUGAGGGAGACCUGGGUUCGAUCCCUGGGUUGGGAGAUCCCCUGGAGAAUGGAAUGGCUACCCACUCCAGUAUUCUGGCCUGGAGAAUUCCAUGGACUGUGUAGCCUACAGGGUCACAAAGAGUCGAACACGACUGAGCGACUCUCAUUUUCACUAUUCUUUCCAAAAACAUGGGAUCUGCCCUUGGUUCUCUAACACGUUCCAGGUAGCACCUGCUGGCACAGCCUAGGCCUCACACUGCUUCAGACCUGCUGAGUUCAAGAACAGUGAGCUCUCCACAACCCUCCCCAAAGAGCAGCCCCCUCCCUGCCAACCAGGCUCCUUACUGCGGAAGGGGGAUUGUUUGUUUCCCUGAAGAUGACGAGGCUAGGCUAGGUGGGUGUAACAGUUAAUUUUAUGCAUCAACAUGGCUGAGCCCUGCCUGCGUACCCCAUGGACUGUAGCCCGCCAGGCUCCUCUGUCCAUGGGAUUCUCCAGGCGAGAAUCCUGGAGUGGGUUGCCAUGCCCUCCUCCAGGGGAUCUUCCCAACUCAGGGAUCAAACCCACGUCUUCUUCGUCUCCUGCAUUGCAGGUGGAUUCUUUACUGCCGAGCUGCCGAGGAAGCCCGUGGCUGGGCUCCGGUACCCAGAUAAGUUGGUCAGGCAUUAUUCUGGAUGUUUCUGUGAGGGUGCUCUGUGGGUCAGACCAACAUCUGAAUUUGCAGAGCUUUGCUGCUAUUGUUUUUGCUGCAGAGUCUGUGUUGGAGUGUGAGGGCUUAGUUGUCCUGUAGCAUGUGGGAUCUUAGUUCCCUGACCAGGGAUCAAACCCACAUCCCCUGUGUUAGAGGGCAGACUCCCAACCACUGGACUACCAGGGAUAUACCUGAAGUCUGUAGAGUUUGGGGAAAGCAGAUUUUCCUCCCUAGUAAGGACAGCCUUCAUCCAGUCAAAGGUCCCCGUAGAAUAACAGCCUGACCUCGCUCCACUGAGCAAGAAGGAAUUCGGCCACAGACGCUCUUGAACUUAGAUUGCAGCCUUGGCUCCUCCCUGGGGGUCCCGACCUGCCAGCCCACCUUGCAGAUUCUGGACUUGCCAGAUUCCAUGACAGUGUGAGCCAAGGCCUCAGAGUAUAUCCCUCUACACAGAUAUACAUGCAGCCUGUUGGUUGGAGAGCCCUGAUUGAUACCAUGGGUAAACCAAGCUGGACCUUCCUGUCCAUCCACACAGGUUCAACUCGGGGCAGAAAGUGAGAGGUCCAGAACAUUCUCUGAUCUGGGAUUUCAGGGCCAGGCACUUUAAAGGUCACUGGGAAGUUGCACUGUUGCCAUUAAUAAGUCAAC
ensembl:lincRNA